AGCGUAGACGGGCCGGUAAGUUGGAAGUGAAAUCUAUGGGCUUAACCCAUAAACUGCUUUCAAAACUGCUGGUCUUGAGUGAUGGAGAGGCAGGCGGAGUUCCGUGUGUAGCGGUGAAAUGCGUAGAUAUACGGAGGAACACCAGUGGCGAAGGCGGCCUGCUGGACAUUAACUGACGCUGAGGCGCGAAAGCGUGGGGAGCAAACA
rnacentral:rRNA from 1 species